rnacentral:rRNA from 1 species
CCUACGGGUAGCUGCAGUGAGGAAUAUUGGUCAAUGGACGAGAGUCUGAACCAGCCAAGUAGCGUGAAGGAUGACUGCCCUAUGGGUUGUAAACUUCUUUUAUAAAGGAAUAAAACGAGGCACGUGUGCCUUUUUGCAUGUACUUUAUGAAUAAGGAUCGGCUAACUCCGUGCCAGCAGCCGCGGUAAUACGGAGGAUCCGAGCGUUAUCCGGAUUUAUUGGGUUUAAAGGGCGCGUAGAUGGGUUGUUAAGUCAGUUGUGAAAGUUUGCGGCUCAACCGUAAAAUUGCAAUUGAUACUGGCAGUCGUGAGUACAGUUGAGGUAGGCGGAAUGCGUGGUGUAGCGGUGAAAUGCUUAGAUAUCACGAAGAACCCCGAUUGCGAAGGCAGCUUACUAAACUGUGACUGACAUUGAUGCUCGAAAGUGUGGGUAUCAAACAGGAUUAGAUACCCGAGUAGUC